rnacentral:rRNA from 1 species
UACGGAGGGUGCGAGCGUUGUCCGGAAUCAUUGGGCGUAAAGGGCGCGUAGGUGGCUUCUUAAGCGUGCGGUGAAAGCCUGGGGCUCAACCCCGGGUCGGCCGUGCGAACUGGGGGGCUGGAGCACUGUAGAGGCAGGCGGAAUUCCGGGUGUAGCGGUGGAAUGCGUAGAGAUCCGGAAGAACACCGGUGGCGAAGGCGGCCUGCUGGGCAGUUGCUGGACACUGAGGCGCGACAGCGUGGGGAGCAAACAGG